UACAGAGGUCUCAAGCGUUGUUCGGAUUCAUUGGGCGUAAAGGGUGCGUAGGCGGCGCGGUAAGUCGGGUGUGAAAUCUCGGGGCUUAACUCCGAGACUGCAUUCGAUACUGCCGUGCUUGAGGACUGGAGAGGAGACUGGAAUUUACGGUGUAGCGGUGAAAUGCGUAGAUAUCGUAAGGAAGACCAGUGGCGAAGGCGGGUCUCUGGGCCGAAACUGACGCUGAGGAGCGAAAGCGUGGGGAGCAAACAGG
rnacentral:rRNA from 1 species